GACGAACGCUGGCGGCGUGCUUAACACAUGCAAGUCGAACGGAAAGGCCUGCUUUCCCUUGUGGAUUGCGGGUACUCGAGUGGCGAACGGGUGAGUAACACGUGAGUGAUCUGCCCCCAACUUGGGUAUAAGCCUGGGAAACUGGGUCUAAUUCCCGAUAGGACUGCAGGGUGGUGCCUGUGGUGGAAAGCGAUUUUCUAGUGGUUGGGGAUGAGCUCGCGGCCUAUCAGCUUGUUGGUGGGGUAAUGGCCUACCAAGGCGGCGACGGGUAGCCGGCCUGGGAGGGUGGACGGCCACAUUGGGACUGAGAUACGGCCCAGACUCCUACGGGAGGCAGCAGUGGGGAAUAUUGCACAAUGGGCGGAAGCCUGAUGCAGCGACGCCGCGUGGGGGAUGACGGCCUUCGGGUUGUAAACUCCUUUCGACCGCGAGGAAGCCACCUGGUUGGAAGGGUGGUGACGGUAGUGGUAGAAGAAGCACCGGCUAACUACGUG
rnacentral:rRNA from 1 species